CUUGCUAACGGUGCUACGGAGGCCUCCAUUAUCAAUAAGAAGUAUCUUGGUAAAAUUUCGAGCGGCUGGAUUUAUGCGUUCGUCCGCUAUCGUGAUUUCCGCAAACGGAAGGCCAUGGCUAGAUCGACUGAGAAUGUCAAGGCGAACAAAAAUGGGGUCACUGAUCAAUAUUUCGAAGUGUUACAACCAGAUGAACUAGAUGCGUAUAACCCCCAUCCUAUGUUUUUGCAGGGAGUUCGUGCUCCGACUUUAAGUCCCUGUGCCAUUUUAGCCAUUUGCAUGAAUCAUUUCUCUACAUUUGUGAAUAAACAAGCUCACAUUUCCGGUGGUGAUGGAUGUUUUUUGUACUGCACUCCAUGUUUUCCUCCAGGCAGAUAUGAGCUAUUGCAGAGCCAUGGUUUUGGGGGACGCAGUUUCCAGGUGCCCACGAACGUAUGUGAGAACUUUUUCUUCAAAGAGAUCCAGCAGAUCAUCGUAUCCCAUGAAAUAAUUAUUACUGAGUUCCCCUUUCUCGAAUCAAAACUGAAUGCGGAAAUAACGGCAUCAUCUGUUCGCUACACGCUGCAACUUUGGCACUAAGAAAAGCAAAAUUCUCCCUCUUAGACGAUGGAUGUACCUGGUAAAUUGACUCACGAAUUAUUUUAUGACAUUAAACGUAAUAUUCCAACAAAUUUACCUACAUUCGAAAUAUCCAUUUGCGACCCUAUAAAUAUUCUUGACCGUCGCAAUAAAUCUAAGACGAUCUGGCCAUAUCCGUGCGUCUGUCUGUUGAAAUCA